CCAAAGCGGAGGAAAAGAAACCAACAGGGAUUGCCUCAGUAGCGGCGAGUGAAGCGGCAAGAGCUCAGAUUUGAAAUCGCAGCACCAUGCUGCGAGUUGUAGAUUGCAGGUGGGAGAGUCUGCGUAGGCCGGUGUCGAAGUCCCUUGGAACAGGGCGCCACUGAGGGUGAGAGCCCCGUGCGAUGCCACGCUCUACGUUUUGUACUCCCCUCUGACGAGUCGAGUUGUUUGGGAAUGCAGCUCUAAGUGGGUGGUAAAUUCCAUCUAAGGCUAAAUACUGGCGAGAGACCGAUAGCGAACAAGUACUGUGAAGGAAAGAUGAAAAGCACUUUGAAAAGAGAGUGAAACAGCACGUGAAAUUGUUGAAAGGGAAGGGUAUUGGGCCCGACAUGGGAAUCGCGCACCGCUGCUCCUUGUGGGCGGCGCUCUGGGCUUUUCCUGGGCCAGCAUCGGUUCUUGCUGCAGGAGAAGGGGCUGUGGAAUGUGGCUGCCGCGCUUUGCCGGGGCAGUGUUAUAGCCACUGGGCCAGAUGCUGCGUGUGGGGACCGAGGACUGCGGCCGCAAGGUCUCGGAUGCUGGCACAACGGCGCAAUACCGCCCGUCUAAAAA
rnacentral:rRNA from 1 species